GGGGAGUGCUCGAAAGAGAACCUGCACACAGGUGCUGCAUGGCUGUCGUCAGCUCGUGUCGUGAGAUGUUGGGUUAAGUCCCGCAACGAGCGCAACCCUUGUCAUUAGUUGCUACGAAAGGGCACUCUAAUGAGACUGCCGGUGACAAACCGGAGGAAGGUGGGGAUGACGUCAAGUCCUCAUGGCCCUUAUGGGUAGGGCUUCACACGUCAUACAAUGGUACAUACAGAGGGCCGCCAACCCGCGAGGGGGAGCUAAUCCCAGAAAGUGUAUCGUAGUCCGGAUUGUAGUCUGCAACUCGACUGCAUGAAGUUGGAAUCGCUAGUAAUCGCGGAUCAGCAUGUCGCGGUGAAUACGUUCCCGGGUCUUGUACACACCGCCCGUCACACCAUGGGAGCGGGUUUUACCAGAAGUAGGUAGCUUAACCGCAAGGAGGGCGCUUACCACGGUAGGAUUCGUGACUGGGGUGAAGUCGUAACAAGGUAGCCGUAUCGGAAGGUGCGGCUGGAUCACCUCCUUUCUAG
rnacentral:rRNA from 1 species